CUCCCACGACAUAAGUGUGAAUGCAAUGGAUAUUGACUGUGGCUGUUCGGAUAAAAAUUCGGUGCUUACAUGCUUGUCGAAAUUUAGUUCUGUAAAAGACAAAUAUUGCUAUGAUGCAAUGAUCAGUGAGGAGUAGGAUAGUUAUAGAAUUCUUCCUCAGUUUUCAUUGAGCGAAGAUUGGAUGUGUCUGUUGCCGUAAUUACCUCUCUAGAUUUUUCUUAUACUGAGAAAUAUUAGAAUUUAUAAUCACUAUUGUACACGGUCAUUAAUCUGUGCAAAGUUUUAUCUCUUUCGUACAACCAAAGCUCAUGUGCAAUUCAUCCUUGUUAAAUUGGAAAUUCCCAUUGAAUCCAUCCUGGGUCGUUCUAUCUUCUUUUCCAUAAGUGUUUUAUGCUGGUGACAACUUUACGGUUCAGUAUAUAAUUGCAAAGUAGUUUAUGGUUCAAUGUUUUUGUAUUACAUAUGCAAAUUUAUCAUUUUUUGGUUGUUUGUUGCUUCUUGCAGCACCCCGAGUACAUAUGUGAGGCUAUGGGAGUAUUUUUUCAUGUGAUGAUGGGAGGAACGAAUUGUACCAUGUGAACAAUCGCUGGUUGUUUUGAAGGUUUCUUCCCAGAGUGGCAUAUUAAUUAUUUGGUCCUGCACACCCUAAUUAGGAUUGGUAUUUCAUUUUUUUGUUCACCAUUUAGAUAUACAUUUUUUGCUUGGCCUGCUGUAUUUUCUUGAAGUAAACACUUUAUUAGCUCUUUUACAGUUAAAAAUGCAUGCGUACAAUAUAUAGCUGCUAAUUUGAUGCUCCAAUCUUUAAUUUGCUAAUAUGAUAUUCAACUAUACUUUCAGGAAUAAGCUGGUCAAUGCAGGAAAAUCUGAAAGAAAGCGACUAAAAUCAACAUUUGAAGUGGAGCAGUCAUGGACCUGUUAUAGAGAUCUUGGUGAAAAACUUGUCACUGCAAUUUAGUCAAAUGGGUGUUGAGAUUGAAGUUUCUGCUUUUGUUGACUUUCUGAUAAAUUACAAAAACAUCGACAAGAUAAAGUUAUGCUUCCUUGCUGUCCGAUGUAUCAUGUUUUUCAUGGUAAAGGAAUGGCAAUUUAUAUGUGUGUAGGUUAUGUGGGAGCCUUUUAUAGAGUCCUCAUGUUUUCAGUUAAAUAUACCUCGAAAAUGUGUUAUUCAUGCACUGGAUAUAUCUCCCAGUACUGUGGUGUCGCUAAAUUCAAGCAAGCAGCUUAAUGUUAACAUAUCAGAGCCCUUCAUCGAGAUACAUCAUCUUGGCAUACUGUAUUUUUCAAACUUGUCAAGAGAUAAAUUAUUGUUCUGUCCUAUCUUCAAGUGAUUAACAUUAUAGUUUUCUGCUGCCUCUGUCAUCUUGAUUAAUGUGAUUCAGGAAUCAGGGCAGUGAUCUGCAGAUAGAAUGUAGCUAUAUAUCUUAUCUCGAGGAGCAUCACACCUAUUUAGCUUAGAAGUUUUUUUUCUUACAUUGAACACAGCAGUGUGUGAUAAUUCGAGACAAGGGGAUUGAUGAUGACACAGACUCAGUCUUAGGGCUUGGCUUCUUACCGGUGGAGAGCUCCUCCAUGUUUAAAAUAACAUGUUUUAGUUCUGAUUACAGCCAUAUAGGUAUUCAUGUAUAAGAUUGUUUGCUUUCAGUUCUGGUUAAAUCAUCUUGGAUGAUCAAUCAAAUUUCCAGUGAUGAUACUCUAGCCUUCAUCGAGGUACAUGAUCUUGGCAUACUGCAUUUUUCAAACUUGUCAAGAGAUAAAUUAUUGUUCUGUCCUAUC